AUAAAGCUAGGUUACCAAAGCUA
rnacentral:miRNA from 1 species